UACGUAGGGGGCAAGCGUUGUCCGGAUUCAUUGGGCGUAAAGAGCGUGUAGGCGGCCAGGUAGGUCGGUUGUGAAAACUGGAGGCUCAACCUUCAGAGGUCGACCGAAACCAUCUGGCUAGAGUCCGGGAGAGGAGAGCGGAAUUCCGGGUGUAGCGGUGAAAUGCGUAGAUAUCCGGAGGAACACCGGUGGCGAAGGCGGCUUCCUGGACCGACACUGACGCUGAGGCGCGAAAGCUAGGGGAGCAAACGGG
rnacentral:rRNA from 1 species